rnacentral:lncRNA from 1 species
GGAGACUUGGGAUGGGACUUCUCCUGCAAACCCUGUAUAAGAAAGGUUGAGGUAGAAUAGGCUAGUAAACCGACCGAACUCGGAUGGAAUUUUGGAAAGAUUAAAAUCAUUGUAGGCAAGGUUGAGUUUUUGAAGGUGAGGAAGAAGGAAGAGAGUGGUAUUGGAAGGGAAGUUGCCAUAUAGCCAACUGCAGCUCAAGUCAAGGGCAAUAACAUGAGCAUUUAGGUGGUCACAAGUGACCCCAUCCCAUGAGCAGCAAUCUGUACCCUCCUUCCAUGAAUUUGUCUUGGGAUAAGAUUUAAGGCCAGCAUAAUCAUUGCAAUAAGAAGAAACAUCCUCUGUUACGGAAAAAGAGUCCUUAAACUGGAUUAGGGAAGAGCAGGAGUGAGAUCCUGAAGAAGAAAAAGAAGCAUAAAGAUGGGGAAAGAAGAGGAAUAGGCAGAGAAAGAGAUAGGGGGCCAUGUUAUGUUUGUAGAGAAAGAAGAAGGAUAGGAAUGGUAUUUGUAGGCAACAAAUAGUACCACAACAUUGGUGUUACAGUAUUUUUUUUUUCUUUUACAUUGAAAAGCUAUGGAUAUUAGAUUUUCAAAAAUUUUGUAUUUUUCACCAUCAUCAACAACCACUUAGUCUUCUUUUUACCAUAUAUUUUUCAUUCUAUUUUUUUAACAAAAUCUUGUAUUUCAUUUCAGCUUUCAAAACAACUAAAAAAUUUAAAAUUGAUGAAAUUACAAAGUAGAUUGACUUAGUCUUCUUUCCUAUAACAUUUAAAAGAAUAUCUUGUCAACCAAAGUUAAUUAAUGUGAAAAUUCUUUUUCACACAAAAGAACAAAAUUGUGCUCUAUUCACUAAGUUAGAGGAAAAAGACUGCUAGAUUUUUUAAUUAUUUUUUCUUUGAAAAAUUUGAAAGUUUUUUACUGCCUUUAAGCCAAUAAAAAAAACAUGUAUUAAUUUUGUUUUUAAAAAUAGUGUGUUUGAUUGUGAAAUGAUUCAUCAUCCUCCACCACAAACUAUCCAUAUUUGCAGUGUGAAAGCAGCUACUUUCAUAAAGAAAUUACUUAGGAGAUGGGAUCCACCAAUUUUACCUAAACUCGCAUCAACAUUGUUUAGCAAUUUCAAAAUAGACUAAUUAGUCUGGUUCAAAUACCAAGACUACAAUAUCUAUUCACUUCACUUGGUCUUGCUUCCUAUCGCUGUCAGCCAAACUUGAUCGACUAGCAGUAAGGAAAUUUCAGUCAUUUGCAGCAUAAUGUACAAGAAUUCCACUCCCGCAAAAUAAUUUACAAUAUGGACUAACACACUAAAAAUGAUUUUUAAAAAAUGAUUUUUAGAAAGUAAUUUUUGAAAAAUGGUUAGAAGAUAAUUUUUGUUUCUGAAAUAGUUAAUUUUUUUUGGUGUUUAGAUAAAUUUUGUUAUGUUUUCAUUGUUUACUUGAGUUUAUUUCAUAAAGCUUAUGUAUAUAUUUUAAUUAAUCAUGUUUUAGUUUUAAUUAAUCUUAAUUUACUUAAUUAAGCUUAAUUGUUAACUUCGUACAUUAGAAUAUAAAUUUAUGUUUAAUUAAGUUGAAAGUGAUAAAUAUUUAUUUUGAAUAUUAUUUGGAUAAGUUGAAAAAUGAUUUAAUUUGAUAAAAUUGAAGUCAGGGUCAUAGAACUAUGCUUUUUACUGACAAAAUCUUAGAUGCAGUGAUUAUUGAGACUAAAAAAUGAAAGUCAUGAAAGAAGACAUAAAUAGUUGAACCAUACAAAAUGUUACAUUUUGUAAUGCAAUGAAAUAUAGAUGAAUUGUUACAAAUAUAAAGACAGAUGCAUUGCAAUGCAACCUUUCUCCAUAGGAAAAAAAAUUUGACAGACUUCAAAACAAGAAAUUAUGAAGAUACAACAUACACACUUGAACAUCAUUUCCACUAACUAGAUCCUUCUUCGUCCAUUGCUGCGACUGCCAUCCUUUGACUUUCUUCUUCGCUACUUCUCAUGUUGGAUUCAACCAAAUUCACCAACCAUUUUGGCUUACUAAUUUGGAAAACAACAUAUCCCACGACCAUUCCAAACACUACUCCGCAUCCAUAACCUAUCAACACCAAUUUCCAACCAAAAGAGAUGUUUGAUUUUGAACCAUCUUUUCCAAGCACAUUUGGAGGUGGUGGCUCAAUGAUGUUGCAACCUUUUGAGACCGGAAAUCCACAUAAUCCCUUGUUUCCUUCAUAUGAAUCAUUUCCAUAUGUGUUGAACUGUUUGCCUUGAGGAAUCUGACCAUGGAGUUGAUUUUCAGAAACAUUGAAGGACGAAAGAAAUGCCAGAUCUGCAAAUCUAUUUCGAAUUGUCCCUGACAACCUGUUUGAAUAUAGGUCCAACCAUUCAAGACUCGUCAAAUUCCCUAUUGAAGUGGGGAUACCACCGUUAUAAACACUGUCAUAUGGCAUGAAUAACAUACUCAUAUAUUUACUGUCACAUGGCAUGAAAAACACACCCUCAUAUUCACUUUCACAUUAGUCAUCAUAAGCUUAUAACAUAUGUCAUAGCAAUCUCAUAUAUAUUCAUAAUUUCACAAUUUCACAAGCGUACAUAUAUCACAUUUAAUCAUAUGCGCGAGAAAACUUACUCUCACUUACUCUUGGAAUUUAGAGUAGGAAUUUAGGCUACCACUAAAUUCUCAUCAAUUAAACAAUGAAUCAUCUACGAGCAACAAUUUCAAACCACAAUGAAUCGAGAGCUCAAACUAGCUCUUCCUCUAACUCGUAGAAGGCUUUAAUGAAUCCGAGGCUUCACACAUGACAAUCACACAAUACUCACAGUCAAAUGACAGCCAAGGACCCACUUAAACUAACCAAAAUAAAAGCCUAAGCUACCUUCUAAUGUAACCAAACCCUUUAGCAUGACGAACUUAAAAUGCAAAUAUAUCAAUCUACACUUAAACAUUUUCACAUGAAACAAGUUUCAGUCAUCCCCCAUAUUCAUUUAUAGCUAAACUCCAAUCUUUAAACCACACAAAACUACAAGUUUCAAGGUAUAACAUUUUUCCACAAAUUUUGACCAUAAUAAUGAAAAUUCAUUAAAACACGGGAAAUCUAUAAUGAAACUUAGAAGUAAUUUUAAAAAACUUCUAAUUAAGUUAAAACAAGUUGAAAAACACUUUUAAAUCACUUUUUCAUCCACAAUCUCGAAUUCCACCAUUAAUGACCCAAUUUUUAGGUUUAAAUUAAAACAUGCAAUUUCAUAACUAAAAUCUCAAUUUUAAAGUCUAGAUAACAUUAAAAACUAAUGAGAAAGUAAAUGGUUACCUUUGAUGAAAGAUUAAACGAGUUUUGAAGUAAAUUUGAAAAACCCACAAUUGAAGAAGAAGAUGAAAUCUAUGGCGUUUUUGAGUGUUUUUCUUGGAAUUAUAAGAAAUCAAAGUACUAUUGUUUGGGAAUAAAAAUUAAUUGAAAGAUCAAGGGAAUAGCAAAGGACGGCAAUAGCAAACUUUGGAGAGUAACUAUUGUGAAAUAGAACAGGGAAUGGGGUUUAUUAGGUUCAAUUUAAAACAUUGGUAAAACUUCAAUCUAAGUGCUCACUAUUUUAACUUUGUUACAAAUUAGUUCUUUUUCUAAAUUUUAGGUAUUUAAAACUCAUUUUCAGAAAUCGGCUCAAUUCCCUAAUAGCCAUUGUCGAAAACAUUAUUGAAUACUAACCUUACGAAAUUUUGAUUACAUAUAGGCUAAAAUUCCUAAAAAAAAAUUGAAACUCUUAGAUCCUAUUUUGGGGUGUUCACGUAUGGUCAUGAUUCAUGUUGAAUUAAUACAUCAUUCACCGUAAUAAGGCUUAUCGUUGUAAUAAUUAGUUAAAUCACCUAAUAUCUAAAAAAUUAUUAUUAUUUUCAUAAAAUCAUUGAUCAAAUUAUUGUUUUCAAAUUUCAUACAUAAAAUUAACAAAUAAAGAUAGCUCUAAAUAGCAAAACCCAAUAUGUGUAACAAGUAUUUUUAUUAAUCCAUUUGGAAUGUUAAGGUUUGCUGGAGCAAAUAAAUUGAUUAAUGCUUUGAACUUUCCAAACACUUUUUAUAGUUUUGUUAUAUGCAUUUUGUAUAAUUAGUAUAUUUGAAUAUAUUAGAUACAUCGUCUAAAACAAUGCCAAUUGUAAUUUUUUUAUAUUUUGUUGAUCAUAAGCGUAUUAUAUAAAUAAUUUAAAAAAAAAAAGAUGGAGUGAUACAUUUAUGUAGUGCUUAUGAAUAUAAUGUUGGAUUAAAAUCCUUAAUUAUGAGUACAUAUGUAUAUGCUUGAUAUUACAAUUAUCUUAAUAAUUUUGUUUCUGUUCUUGUUGAUUGAUGAUUAUAGAAAUCAUUAUUCUUCUGAAGGCAUACUUUGUUGUCAAUGACAGUACCUGCACCCUAAAAAAGUCACCAGCUUUAACGACUACAAAAGUUGUCCUGCCUGAUAUUUAUUAAAAAAUCACCAGGAAGCACAUUGUCAGGACAUCCUUGCUGGAAAAAAACUUGGUAGGAUGGUUUUUCUGUGCAAACUUAGUAAUUAAUUUAUGUUGUUUUUACCAAACUUUGUAGCGUUUCACUUUUGGUAAAAUUUCAUCCUUGGUCCCUUUAAACUCCUUUUUGCUUUAAUUUGAUUGCUUUCUAGCGUUGCAAAUUACAUAACACUCUUCAAAUGUCUUAUUAAAUUCUCACUUUUACGAGUGCUAUGUUAAUCAAUUUUAAGUUCCAUAUAACACUUACAUGGCUACAAAAUGUGUGUGUGUGUAAGUGUCCUCAACCACAAACAAUCCAAAUUUGCUGAGAAACCACCCAUUAUAUAUAGGUUUGCCAAUGAGAUGGCAAGCAGACUGCUAGCUAGAAAUUCAUGCAUCUUUGAAUCACCAAUUCAAUUAAUAAGCUUAACUAGAGGAAAUAAGGACUUUACACCACCAAUUAAAGCAACCUAUAUGUACCCUUUUACAGUCUGCAUUGUUCCAUGUUUCCAUUCAUUACAUCAUUCCUUCAACUCUGCUAUAUAUUAUUACCGUCUCCAGAAAACCAAACCUUUUACUGCUAACUUGUAAAAAAAUUAUGAAAAUACAACAGAGAUCAUUGAGACAUUGUUGAAGUUGGCUUGCAUGCAGACCAAGAAGCACACCAAGCUGUCCGAGAUAUGCAAGUUGCAGCUGAAGCUUAUGCUGCUGUUUUGUUACUUUCAAAUAGAUAUUUUAUUAUUUACUUAGAUAUGAACUAAGUUGCUGAUAUGCUUGAUGUAAUUAGGAGCUGAUAGAUUGAUAAAUCAGCUUUACCAAGUGUACAAGCAAUGUUUAUCAAGUUACUAAGCCACUUAGUGGAGUUAGGUAUGUGUUUAGGUAACAUUUUCUUAUUUUUGACCAGCUGAUUGCUUGCUAUAUGUAAUGGCAUUGUGCCUUCAUUCAAAUGUAAAGAAAUCUUUCAGAAAAUUCUUCUUCAUUUGGUCUUUACCUAAGCAUUUUUUUUCACGAAGCUCUUGCUGUUUUUGUUUUGUUUGUUGAGCAAGAUAACAAUGCUUUAUGCUUAAGUUUCUGUCAAAAUUUCUCAUUCUGUUUUCUUAGUUCCUACAGACAUUUUGUUCUCCUUUCUCCUUUACUGAGCAGUAGCAAAGAUUAUCGAGACUAAAUUGAAAUCCAUGAAAGAAGACAUAAACAACACCACCAUACAAAAUGUCACACUCAAACAAACCAUUACAGAUACGAAAUGCAAUGAAAGACAGAGGAAUUGGUACAAUAAUAAAGACAGCCAGAUACCAAUGCAACCCUUCACCAUAGGCAAAACGGUCUACAAACAAGAAAUUAUGAAAAAUACAACACUAAUUCUUGAACAUCAUUUGCAGUAAUUAAAUCCUUCUUCGUCUACUGCUGUGAUUGCCUUUCUUUGACUUUCUUCUUCGCCUCUUCUCAUGUUGGUUUUCAACCAAAUUCACCAACCAUUUUGGCUUACCAGUUUGGAAAACAACAUAUCCCACGGACAUUCCGAACACUACUCCGCAUCCAUAACCUAUCAACACCACUUUCCAACCAAAAGCAAUGUUUGAUUUUGAGCCAUCUUUUUCAAGCACAUUUGGAGGUGCUGGAUCAAUGAUGUUGCAACCUUUCGAGACCGGAAACCCACACAGUCCCUUAUUUCCUUCAUAUGAAUCAUUUCCAAAUGUGUUGAAUUGUUUGCCUUGAGGAAUCUGACCAUGGAGUUGAUUUUCAGAAACAUUGAAGGACGAAAGAAAUGGCAGAUCUGCCAAUCUAUUUGGAAUCGUCCCAGACAACCUGUUUGAAGAUAGGUCCAACCAUUCAAGACUUGUCAAAUUCCCUAUUGAGGUGGGGAUAUCACCAAUAAGGUUAUUAUGAGAAAGGUUGAGCCCUUUCAGUAAGUUAAGCUUCCCAAUAACCUUUGGAAUACCCCUUUCAAACUGAUUGUUUGAUAGAUCAAUGAUCAUCCACAUGGUGAAAAUUUUCACCAAUUCCCUAUCUUGUCCUUUCAUAACAAUUCCAAUGGAAUAGGUAUAGAAGCCAACUCCAUAAUCAUGCACCCCCAUGUAUGACACUGUACUACCAAUCUUCUCUAGAUUUAUGAUAGCCUUGAAGCUGUUGAUGUAUCUCACUGGUAGGGGUCCAGAAAAAUAAUUACUUGAGAGAUCAAAAAUUUGGAUUUUAGAGAAAAAAGGGAUAGACUUGGAGCUAUUGACACAUAAGGAACCAUGCAGUUGAUUUGACUUCAAUACAAGAACUUGUAGCUGUGGAAGACUUCCCAACCAGUGAGGAAAUGUAUCAUUGAUCUUGUUGUUACCAAGAUCUAGCACUUCCAGACCUCUACAAUUAAGGAUGGAUGGUGUCAAAGGCCCUUCUAACAGAUUUCCAUUUAAGUUGAAAUUACUCAAUCGGCAUCCCUUUGCAAAUGCUGGAGGAAUCGUCCCAUAAUACUUGUUCUUCUUCAGAUUCAAGAAUAGAAGGCUGUUGCUCAAAUUUCCAAAACAUUGUGGAAUUGUUCCACUCAAGUUAUUGUGGGACAAAUCAAGAAUUUCAAGAAAAGCGGCAUUGCAUAUUAAAGAAGAGACCUCUCCAUUGAAACUAUUAUUUGAGAUCAAAAAGACUCUUAUGGUCGAAGCUGGAAUCGGAAGAUUUCCACUGAUCAAAUUGGAGCUUAAGUCAAGAACAUCAAUAUUCUUCCAUGGAAAGUGCUCAACUUCUGUCAAAGUGUUGUGAGAUACAUUUAAGUGAGUCAAAGAGCCAUUCCCCACCUCUCGCAUCCACUGUGGAAUCUUGCCUUCAAUUUUGUUGCAAGAGAGGUGUUGAAGUAAUGGUCAGCAUGCAGCAACCAAGACUGUCAAAGGCACUACAUGCAGAAGCUGCUGGUUCACCUAGUCAGCAAGCUGUUUAUGUUUCAUUUUGUAAUUUUAAGUUAGAGUAAUGUAACUUAGUUGCUUUAUAACUAUGUUAGGUUUAUGUUUGAUGUAAUUUUGAUGUUGACUGAGCUGAUAAAUCAGCUUUGUUUGUUUAUUCAAGCUAAUUAGCACAAGUUACUAUGUGUAUUAGUGGUAGUAGGUGAAGUUUAGGUCAACCUACUGUUUUGUCAAGAUUGUAAACUUGUUUUAUGUAUUGGCUUUGUGCCAUAUUUAGUUUGAUGAAUGAAUUCAAGAAGUUAUCAUCCAUAUGCUCUCCAUUUUUAGUUUUGCUUAAAAAUCCAUUUGAGUUUUCUGCUUUGUUUCUCCUACAAGUCACGAGACUUGCCAUACAAGCAUUCUGCUGAAGCUUGCUGCUGCUGCCUCUUGCACCAACAAUUGGUAUCUAGAGCCACAUUCUUAGAGGACCUGUUGUAGUUCAGUAUCAAAACGAUGGCAUCAUCAGGUUUUUCACCAGCUUCACCACCUGUCUUCAAUGGAGAGGGCUUCAACAUUUGGGCAGUUAAGAUGAGGACUUACCUGCAGGCAUUCGACCUAUGGGAAGUUGUUAACUCAGAUGCUGAGCCAGCACCUCUUCGAGCUAAUCCAACAGUUGCUCAAAUAAGGCAACACACUGAUGAAAGGACAAAAAGGCACAAGGCCAUGUCAUGCAUACAGAAUUGUGUGACAGAUGUGAUCUUUAUGAGGAUCAUGGCCUGUGAGACACCAAAGGAGGCUUGGGACAAGCUGAAAGAAGAAUUUCAGGGGACUGAGAAAACAAGGCAACAACAGCUGCUCAAUUUGAGAAGAGAUUUCGAAAAUCUCAAAAUGAAAGAGGAAGAAACAGUUAAGCAGUACUCAGACCGGAUUAUGGCUGUUGUAAACAGCAUAAGGCUCCUAGGAGAGCAAUUCAGUGAAGCUAGAAUGGUUGAGAAAGUCAUGUCCACUCUACCAGAGAGGUAUGAAGCUAAAAUUUCAUCCCUCGAAGACUCAAGGGACUUGACAACUAUCUCCUUAACUGAGCUAAUCAAUGCCUUGUAUGCAUAAGAGCAAAGAAGAGCUAGCAGACAAGAGGAGCACCAGGAAGGGGCUUUUCAAGCCAAAGAAGCCUCGAGCAUCAAAACUCAUAAAGGCAAAAAGUUCUGGAAAAACAAGCCUAAGCCUGAUGCUGCUAGGAGCAGUGACCAACUCUGCAGACAUUGUAAAAGAGCUGGUCAUCCAGAAGAUAGAUGCUGGUUUAGACCAGAUGCAGUAUGCCAAAACUGCAAGAAAAAAGGCCAUGUUGAAAAAGUUUGCAAGAAUAGAAGCAAACCAAGACAGAAUCAAUUUCAGCAACAAAAGGUGGAAGCUCGAGUAGCUGAAGAAAGUAGUGAUCAAGAAGAACAUGUUUUUGCUGUGUCAUGUGCAGCAAAUCAGAAGAAGGGUUCAAAGGGCUGGCUUCUAGACAGUGGGUGCACAAACCACAUGUCACCAGAUGCAACUAUCUUCAAAACCCUGGACAGAACCUGCAAAACCAAAGUAAAAAUUGGAAAUGGUCAGUUAAUCAAUGCUGAAGGAAGAGGAGAUGUGCUGAUUCAUACUUCUACAGGUGGCAAAAUCAUUUCAAAUGUACUUUUGGUACCUGAAAUCGAUAGGAACCUUCUCAGUAUAACUCAACUACUUGAGAAAGGUUACUCAGUUGUUUUCAAGGAGAAAGAAUGUCAAAUUUUUGAUCCAAGUGGAUCAAAUCUUAUAACAGUCACCAUGACUGAUAAAUGUUUUGAAGUAGACUGGCCAAAUGACUCACAUUCAGCCUGCAUAGCCUCCACUAAUGACUCGAGACUCUGGCAUCAGAGGCUUGGACAUGCAAACUACAAAUCCAUAGCCCGCAUGGUCAAUGAAGGUCUGGCAGAAAAUUUCAUUGAUUCAGUGAAGAAUGAUGAGCUUUGUGAGAUAUGUCAGCAAGGAAAAUUGGCAAGAUUGCCAUUUCCAACAAGCACAACAUGGAGAGCAUCAGAGAAGCUCCAGCUUGUGCAUACAGAUGUGUGUGGACCAAUGAAGACUGAGUCUCUCAAAGGAAGCAGGUACUUUAUUUUAUUUAUUGAUGACUUAACAAGAUACUGCUGGAUUUAUUUUCUAAAACAGAAAUCAGAAGUACCAUCUAUGUUCCUGAAGUAUAAGGCUGCUGUUGAAACUGAGUCUGGUUGCAAACUUAGAGCAAUGAGGUCAGAUAAUGGAACUGAGUACACCUCAGCUCAGUUCCAAGUCUACUGUGAAGAAGCAGGUAUCAAACACCAGUUGACUAAUGUGUAUACACCCCAACAGAAUGGGGUCAGUGAAAGGAAAAACAGAAGCUUGAUGAACAUGGCAAGAUGUCUUCUGUUUGAGAAGAAUUUGCCCAAAAGUCUGUGGGCUGAAGCUGUUAACACAGCAGUUUAUCUCUAAAAUAGGCUCCCAACCAAGGCUCUGGCUGAGAAGACUCCAUUUGAAGCCUGGUUUGGGUUUAAGCCAUCACUGGCUCAUCUCAGAACCUUUGGUUGUCUGUGCUAUACUCAAGUUCCAGCUGAGAAGAGAAGCAAGCUAGACAAAAGAGCUCAAGCAGGGAUCCUGAUCGGCUACAGCUUGGUUAAGAAGGGCUACAGAAUUCUAGAACCUGCUACAAACAAGAUAUUGGUUAGCAGGGAUGUUGUUUUCAAUGAAAAAGGACACUGGAAUUGGGAGAAGGCUGAACCAGAGGCAGUGGCUGAAGAUCUGGCAGUGGACCAAGUUGAAAAUGGUGAAAACACACCUGAAAUGGAUGUAGAUGAUGUUCCAAUCAGAGGCACUCGAUCACUGGCUGAUGUUUAUGAAAGAGCACAAGUGGCUACUGUUGAACCAAAUUGCUUUGAAGAAGCAGAAAACCAGGAGGACUGGAAGCAAGCAAUGAUUGAAGAAAUCAGAAUGAUUGAAAAGAAUCAGACCUGGAGUCUGGUUGAUAAACCAACAAACAGGAAGAUUAUUGGUGUCAAAUGGGUUUAUCGAGUAAAGAACAAUGCUGAUGGUAGCCUAAACAAGUUAAAGGCUAGAUUGGUUGUGAAAGGCUUCAGUCAAAGGUAUGGAUCAGACUACCUGGAAACCUUUGCACCAGUGGCCAGGUUAGACACUAUUAGACUGCUAGUUGCCUUAGCAGCACAAAAACAGUGGCUGAUACACCAACUUGAUGUAAAAUCAGCAUUUCUGAAUGGAUUCCUUGAAGAGGAGAUUUAUGUGGAGCAACCUCAAGGUUUCAAGGUGUCUGGCAAAGAAGAUAUGGUGUACAAGCUCAACAAAGCCUUGUAUGGCUUGAAACAGGCUCCAAGGGCCUGGUAUAGCAGAAUAGAUGGCUAUCUGACCAGUCAAGGAUUUGAAAGAAGUCUUAGCGAGCCAACUCUGUAUGUUAAAUCAACUAGUGCUGAAACUCAGCUCAUUGUCUCAAUAUAUGUCGAUGACCUACUGGUGACAGGAGGAGAUCAUGAGAUGCUAAGCAGUUUUAAAGUCAAAAUGCAACAGCACUUUGAAAUGUCAGACUUGGGAUUGAUGUCUUACUUCUUAGGCAUGGAAGUAACUCAAGCUAAGAAUGGGAUUUGGCUAAGUCAAAAGACCUUUGCUAUGAAGGUUCUCAACAAAUUCUCAAUGGAGAAUUGCAAAGCAACCAGCACACCAGUUGCUGUUGGAGAAAAACUCUCGAGCCAAGACAAGCAUGAAAAGGUUUGUGAAACAACCUAUCGAAGUCUAGUUAGAUGUUUGUUGUAUUUGACUGCUACUAGACCUGACAUAAUGUAUGCUGUGAGUCUACUCUCGAGGUUUAUGCAUUCUUCAAAUGAAAGUCAUUUUAGAGCUGCAAAAAGGGUUCUAAGAUACAUCAAAGGAACUUUGUCCUAUGGAAUGCAGUUUACCAAGGCUGAGAACUUGAGGCUAGUUGGAUAUUGUGACAGUGAUUGGGCUGGUUCUUUGGAUGACAUGAAGAGCACUACAGGUUAUGCAUUCAACAUAGGCUCUGCUAUGAUAUGCUGGAGCUCAAAGAAGCAAGGAGUAGUGGCUCAGUCGACUGCAGAAGCAGAAUAUGUGGCUGCUGCUGCAGCAGUCAAUCAAGCCAUAUGGCUUAGAAAAAUUUUGAAAGAUAUCAAUCAUGAGCAAAAGGAAGCAACUGAGAUAAUGUCUGACAACCAAUCAGCAGUUGCUAUUGCAAAGAAUCCUGUUUUUCAUGGAAGGACCAAGCACUUCAACAUCAAACUUCAUGCAGUUCGGGAAAUGGAACAAGCUCAUGUUGUUAAGCUGAUACAUUGCAGUUCUGAAGAGCAAAUUACUGAUAUUUUAACAAAAGCACUAAGUGUUUCCAAGUUUCAACACCUGAGAGCUAAUAUGGGAGUUUGCAACAUGCUAACCAAGGAGGAGUGUUGAAGUAAUGGUCAGCAUGCAGCAACCAAGACUGUCAAAGGCACUACAUGCAGAAGCUGCUGGUUCACCUAGUCAGCAAGCUGUUUAUGUUUCAUUUUGUAAUUUUAAGUUAGAGUAAUGUAACUUAGUUGCUUUAUAACUAUGUUAGGUUUAUGUUUGAUGUAAUUUUGAUGUUGACUGAGCUGAUAAAUCAGCUUUGUUUGUUUAUUCAAGCUAAUUAGCACAAGUUACUAUGUGUAUUAGUGGUAGUAGGUGAAGUUUAGGUCAACCUACUGUUUUGUCAAGAUUGUAAACUUGUUUUAUGUAUUGGCUUUGUGCCAUAUUUAGUUUGAUGAAUGAAUUCAAGAAGUUAUCAUCCAUAUGCUCUCCAUUUUUAGUUUUGCUUAAAAAUCCAUUUGAGUUUUCUGCUUUGUUUCUCCUACAAGUCACGAGACUUGCCAUACAAGCAUUCUGCUGAAGCUUGCUGCUGCUGCCUCUUGCACCAACAAGAGGUCUAAGCUUUCCAAACUUUUAAGCCCUUUUAAAAAUUGGGGGAAUUCACUAAGAUUGCAAGAUGACAAAAAUAAGCUUGUAAGAUUAACAGUAGAAGUUGUAUUAGAUGUUAAGGAUAGGCUGUUAUAUGAAAGGUCAAGAUAUUCGAGAUUUGGAAGGUUUGAGAACAUGCGAAACUCUAUGACACCACUAAGAUAAUUUGAGGAUAAGCUAAGUUGGGUAAGAUUGAGAAGUUGGAAUAUUGAAGAUGGAAGAGGACCUUGGAGUUUAUUAUUCUCUAACCAUAUCCAUUCUAGUGAUUUGGAUUGGAAUUCUUUGAUAUGCCCACUGAAUUGAUUUUGAGAGAGAUAUAUUGUCUUUAAGGAGGGAGCAAUAUACAACCAUGACGGAAGUGUUCCAUUGAGUAAAUUGUCAGAUAAGUCUAAAUAUAUUAGAUUAUGAAAAGCGGUUACCUCAUCUGGAAUGGAACCUUCUAAAGAAUUGUUAGAUAUUGUCAAGUAUUCCAGCUGCGUUAGGUUUAGAAUUGACAAUGGAAUUUGUCCACUCAAUUUGUUCCAUCCCAAGUCUAAAACAGUGAGUUGCAAGAGGUUCCCCAAUGAUCUUGGAAUCUGUCCACUCAAUUGGUUCAGCCACAAGUCUAAAUGAGUGAGUUGCAAGAGGUUCCCUAAUGAUCUUGGAAUUUGUCCACUCAAUUGGUUCUUCGACAAGUCUAAAUGAGUGAGUUGCAAGAGGUUCCCCAAUUUUCUUGGAAUUUGUCCACUCAAUUGGUUCUCCGACAAGUCUAAAUGAGUGAGUUUCAAGAGAUUCCCCAGUGAUCUUGGAACCAGUCCUGAUAAGUUGGAAUGGGAGAGAACUAAAAACUUCAAGGACACAAGAUUCCCCAUCGAGUCAGGCAAUCCUCCACAAAUAUUUGCGUCUGAAAUUAUCAAUUGUUCAAGAUUGCUGCUCCGAUUGAACUUCAAAGGAUCAAGAUUGAGGUUUUGGUUGCCUCCCAAGUUGAGGAGAUUGAGGUUUGGCAAAUCAAAAAUGUUUUUUGGGAAUUUUCCUUGCAAAUCACAACCAACAAGACUGAGAGACCUUAGAGAAGAGGAUAGAUUCAUGAAGACAUGAGCAUUAACUGAAGACAUGUCCAUUUCAUCCAAAAACAGACGUCUGACCUCGGUUAGGUUGUGAACAAGACCCUCCAGAGCAUAUUUGUCAAUUGUUAAUAGUUCAUCAAACCCAGAAAGAUCAAGUGAAACCAAUUUUGACAGGUGGGAGACUUGGGAUGGGACUUCUGAAAACCAUGUAUUGGAAAGGUUGAGGUAGAAUAGGCUUGUAAACCGACCGAACUCGGAUGGAAUUUUGGAAGAAUUAAAAUCAUUGUAGGCAAGGUUGAGUUUUUGAAGGUGAGGAAGAAGGAAGAGAGUGGUAUUGGAAGGGAAGGUGCCAUAUAGCCAACUGCAGCUCAAGUCAAGGGCAAUAACAUGAGCAUUUAGGUGGUCACAAGUGACCCCAUCCCAUGAGCAGCAAUCUGUACCCUCCUUCCAUGAAUUUGUCUUGGGAUAAGAUUUAAGGCCAGCAAAAUAAUCGCAAUGAUCAAAAGAAGCAUCCUCUCUUAUGGAAAAGGAGUCCUUAAACUGGAUUAGUGAAGAGCAGGAGUGAGAUCCUGAAGAAGAAAAAGAAGCAUAAAGAUGGAGAAAGAAGAGGAAUAGGGAGAGAAAGAGAUAG